rnacentral:rRNA from 1 species
UGGGGAAUUGUUCACAAUGGGCGCAAGCCUGAUGACGCAACGCCGCGUGGAGGAUGAAGGUCUUCGGAUUGUAAACUCCUGUUGCUCGGGAAGAAAAGCUUCGACCUAACACGUCGAAGUCUGACGGUACCGGGUGAGGAAGCCCCGGCUAACUCUGUGCCAGCAGCCGCGGUAAUACAGAGGGGGCAAGCGUUGUUCGGAAUUACUGGGCGUAAAGGGCGCGUAGGCGGGCCUGUUAAGUCGAACGUGAAAUCCCCGGGCUCAACCCGGGAACUGCGUCCGAUACUGGCAGGCUUGAAUUCGGGAGAGGGAUGUGGAAUUCCAGGUGUAGCGGUGAAAUGCGUAGAUAUCUGGAGGAACACCGGUGGCGAAGGCGGCAUCCUGGACCGAUAUUGACGCUGAUGCGCGAAAGCCAGGGGAGCAAACGGGAUUAGAUACCCCGGUAGUCCUGGCCCUAAACGAUGAAUGCUUGGUGUGGCGGGUAUCGAUCCCUGCCGUGCCGAAGCUAACGCAUUAAGCAUUCCGCC